AGAGUUUGAUUCUGGCUCAGGAUGAACGCUGGCGGCGUGCCUAACACAUGCAAGUCGAGCGGACCAAUGCCCAUUUCAGCUUUGCUGAUUUGAGCAACGGUUAGCGGCGGACGGGUGAGUAACGCGUGGGCAACCUGCCCUGUGCAGGGGGAUAACACAGCGAAAGCUGUGCUAAUACCCCAUAAGACUACGCUAUCGCAUGAUAGAGUAGUCAAAGCUUUAGCGGCACAGGAUGGGCCCGCGUCUGAUUAGCUAGUUGGUGGGGUAACGGCCUACCAAGGCGACGAUCAGUAGCCGACCUGAGAGGGUGAUCGGCCACACUGGAACUGAGACACGGUCCAGACUCCUACGGGAGGCAGCAGUGGGGAAUAUUGCACAAUGGGGGAAACCCUGAUGCAGCAACGCCGCGUGAGCGAAGAAGGCCUUCGGGUCGUAAAGCUCUGUCCUAAGGGAAGAAGUAUGACGGUACCUUAGGAGGAAGCCCCGGCUAACUACGUGCCAGCAGCCGCGGUAAUACGUAGGGGGCGAGCGUUAUCCGGAAUCACUGGGCGUAAAGGGUGCGUAGGCGGCCGAGUAAGCCAGGGGUGAAAGGCUACGGCUUAACCGUAGUAAGCCUUUGGAACUACUUGGCUUGAGUGCAGGAGAGGAGAGUGGAAUUCCUAGUGUAGCGGUGAAAUGCGUAGAUAUUAGGAGGAACACCAGUGGCGAAGGCGACUCUCUGGACUGUAACUGACGCUGAGGCACGAAAGCGUGGGGAGCAAACAGGAUUAGA
rnacentral:rRNA from 1 species